GGGAUAUAGCUCAGUUGGUAGAGCGGUUGCUUCGCAUGUAACAGGCCGACGGUUCGAAUCCGUUUAUCUCC
rnacentral:tRNA from 1 species